CAGCCGCCGCGGUAAUACGAAGGGUGCAAGCGUUAAUCGGAAUUACAGGGCGUAAAGCGUGCGUAGGCGGUGAGUCAAGUCUGCUGUGAAAUCCCCGGGCUCAACCUGGGAAUGGCAGUGGAUACUGGCUCGCUAGAGUGUGUCAGAGGAUGGUGGAAUUCCCGGUGUAGCGGUGAAAUGCGUAGAGAUCGGGAGGAACAUCAGUGGCGAAGGCGGCCAUCUGGGACAACACUGACGCUGAGGCACGAAAGCGUGGGGAGCAAACAGGAUUAGAUACCCCGGUAGUCCCUGUCUCUUAUAC
rnacentral:rRNA from 1 species